GACGUAGGGCGCGAGCGUUGUCCGGAUUUAUUGGGCGUAAAGAGCUCGUAGGCGGCUUGUUGCGUCAGCUGUGAAAACCCGCAGCUCAACUGUGGGCUUGCAGCUGAUACGGGCAGGCUUGAGUUCGGUAGGGGAGACUGGAAUUCCUGGUGUAGCGGUGAAAUGCGCAGAUAUCAGGAAGAACACCCGUGGCGAAAGCGGCUCACUGGCCCGAUACUGACGCUGAGGUGCGAAAGCGUGGGGAGCAAACAGG
rnacentral:rRNA from 1 species